UGGGGAAUUUUGGACAAUGGGCGAAAGCCUGAUCCAGCAAUGCCGCGUGUGUGAAGAAGGCCUUCGGGUUGUAAAGCACUUUUGUCCGGAAAGAAAUCCUUGGCUCUAAUACAGUCGGGGGAUGACGGUACCGGAAGAAUAAGCACCGGCUAACUACGUGCCAGCAGCCGCGGUAAUACGUAGGGUGCAAGCGUUAAUCGGAAUUACUGGGCGUAAAGCGUGCGCAGGCGGUUUGCUAAGACCGAUGUGAAAUCCCCGGGCUCAACCUGGGAACUGCAUUGGUGACUGGCAGGCUAGAGUAUGGCAGAGGGGGGUAGAAUUCCACGUGUAGCAGUGAAAUGCGUAGAGAUGUGGAGGAAUACCGAUGGCGAAGGCAGCCCCCUGGGCCAAUACUGACGCUCAUGCACGAAAAGCGUGGGGAGCAAAACAGGAUUAGAUACCCUGGUAGUCACGCCCUAAAACGAUGUCAACUAGUUGUUGGGGGAUUCAUUUUCCUUAGUAACGUAGCUAACGCGUGAAGUUGACCGCCUGGGGAGUACGGUCGCAAGAUU
rnacentral:rRNA from 1 species